rnacentral:misc_RNA from 1 species
CACGCCGCCGCUUGUGCUGCAGCCAUGUCUCUAGUGAUCCCUGAAAAGUUCCAGCAUAUUUUGCGAGUACUCAACACCAACAUCGAUGGGCGGCGGAAAAUAGCCUUUGCCAUCACUGCCAUUAAGUAGAGACAGGGUUUCACCAUGUUGGCCAGGCUGGUUUUGAACUCCUGCCCUCAAUGUCAUCUGCCCACUUGGGCCUCCCAAAGUGCUGGGAUUACAGGCGUGAGCCACUGCGACCGGCCCAAAGUUAACCUUCUGUCGAACGGUUUAUAUCUGGAAAGGGUGUGGGCCGAAGAUAUGCUCAUGUGGUGUUGAGGAAAGCAGACAUUGACCUCACCAAGAGGGCGGGAGAACUCACUGAGGAUGAGGUGGAACGUGUGAUCACCAUUAUGCAGAAUCCACGCCAGUACAAGAUCCCAGACUGGUUCUUGAACAGACAGAAGGAUGUAAAGGAUGGAAAAUACAGCCAGGUCCUAGCCAAUGGUCUGGACAACAAGCUCCGUGAAGACCUGGAGCGACUGAAGAAGAUUCGGGCCCAUAGAGGGCUGCGUCACUUCUGGGGCCUUCGUGUCCGAGGCCAGCACACCAAGACCACUGGCCGCCGUGGCCGCACCGUGGGUGUGUCCAAGAAGAAAUAAGUCUGUAGGCCUUGUCUGUUAAUAAAUAGUUUAUAUACCUAUGG